rnacentral:rRNA from 1 species
CACGUAGGGCGCAAGCGUUGUCCGGAAUUAUUGGGCGUAAAGAGCUCGUAGGCGGUCUGUUGCGUCCGCUGUGAAAACCUGGGGCUCAACCCCGGGCCUGCAGCCGAUACGGGCAGACUAGAAUUCGGUAGGGGAGGCUGGAAUUCCUGGUGUAGCGGUGAAAUGCGCAGAUAUCAGGAGGAACACCGGUGGCGAAGGCGGGUCUCUGGGCCGAUAUUGACGCUGAGGAGCGAAAGCGUGGGGAGCGAACAGG